UACGUAGGUGGCAAGCGUUGUCCGGAUUUACUGGGCGUAAAGGGAGCGUAGGCGGAUGUUUAAGUGGGAUGUGAAAUACUCGGGCUCAACUUGAGUGCUGCAUUCCAAACUGGAUAUCUAGAGUGCAGGAGAGGAAAGGAGAAUUCCUAGUGUAGCGGUGAAAUGCGUAGAGAUUAGGAAGAAUACCAGUGGCGAAGGCGCCUUUCUGGACUGUAACUGACGCUGAGGCUCGAAAGCGUGGGGAGCAAACAGGAUUAGA
rnacentral:rRNA from 1 species